rnacentral:lncRNA from 1 species
UAUCAAUGACAGCAAGUCCCAAUUAACCCCGACCAACCAAAUCAGUUUUCUGGGGACAACUUUCACCAGACCCAGACGGUACAGAGUGAGUCAUGAGGCUAUCAACAUUGAUUUGCCGGAGAAAUACCCAACAAAAAACGCUGAAUUCCAAUCAAUACUGGGAAAGUUAAAUUGGUACCGGCAUUACAUCACUUCACAACACCUACCGGUACUGGCUCGCAUGUAGAGGCAGAUUCGAAAGAGGACCAGACUGAAGACACCGUGGUCCCCUAAGGAUGCCAGAGCUCUAGAUGAAUUAAUAACAUUGGUUUGGAACACCACACUACAUGCCAUCAACUUCAAGACACCUCUGACAGUUACCAUCGGGUUCACCAUGGAACACCUUUUCGUGACAGUGACCAGCCCCGAAGGGAAUCUUGUUUUUGUUGCCCACCGAACCCUCCAGAUGGCACAACAUAGGUAUGGAGUGGUUGGGAAAACUCUCCUUGCUGCCCAGUUGGCGGAACCACUAACCAUUGGGAGAGACAAGUUGAGGGCUACCGGAGCGACCUUGUUACCCCGACUCAUCCAUGACCGACCAGACCCCUGUUUCCAAGGUCAGUUGUCAACAUGGAGCGCCUUGGUACUUAACCACCUAUACCAAUGGCGCGCUUGGAAACGUGAGGACGUAUCACCUCCGGCUAACAUCACUGAGACAUCCAGGAUAACUCUCUAUGGAAUGGCCCAGCCAGCAUGGAUGGCCUCGGACGGCACCACACGAGGUGGAGGGAAGUAUGGAUUUUAUUGCCAUCCAUGCCACAUACAUCAAAUCCACCCUGGCUGUGAAUCGGUGCAAAAGAAUGAAUUGUUGGGGUUCUGGGAAGUAAUACAACACUGUCUACAACAUCAUGACGGAACACUUCCCAUACCAGUCAUUGCCAUCGAUUCACAGUAUAUUUAUCGAAUCGUGACCGGCACAGCUUCGCCGUUUGAAAACACUGACCUCUGGCAAGAAAUAUAUGAUUUACUGUCUGAAUUUAUGACACUACCAUUGAUAAGGCACACAAGGUCACACCAAAUGGAUACAGACCCAAUCCAUGGGACGAUCGACCAGUUACUGGGAGUAUUGACCGUGAAUGACAUCAAAAAUGAAGUAUGCAUGGACUCAUACCUGGAGUGGCUCCAUGAGCACUGGGGUCAUCUAGGUCCUCAAGCAUGCCAGCAGAGAUGGCACAAGGAAUCAGGAAACCACUCGAAACAUGGGACCCACAUAGACUGGAAAAGGGUCACCCAAGCCUGUAAGACCCGUGCCACAGAGAAAGCUCACCCGACAAGCAAUCUCAAAGGAGCCUUAAACCCAAAAACAUUUGCACCUGGGAGAUCAUGG